UUGGGAUCCUCUGUAGGUGGGGAUGGGGGAAUGAUCCUCCCCAUGGUCAUCAUCAUAGGAUCCCUACGGGUUGUCAGUCGUCUAAAUGCAAGAAAACCCGUUCGGUUGGAAGAAGCCUCAAUCUAUAUGAAGCAUUUAAAAAAAUGGUAAUAAGCCACUCCCCCUUGAAUAUAGUACAACAGAACGCCAAUUUAGGGCCGUGGGAGACAAUUAUCAGAUGUAUGUGAGGAAGAUAUCCCAAGAGGUCGAUUCAGAGGUUCCUUACCAUUAUUCUAGUUGGAAGAAUGUUGAUGCUAAGUAUAAAAAGGCCAUACUUGCCACAAUUGCUUUUCCAAAAUACGGAGCACUGGGAUGCAAUCAAGGAAUCGAUACGAGUAG